rnacentral:rRNA from 1 species
AUGUCUACCAAGUUGAUAGCGCUCUACAUUACAGUUUGCUCUGUUCUGUUCAUCAUAUCCAAGAUGCUCAUCUCCUUCCUCUGCUACAAGAAGUGGGCUCGCAAGAAGAGGAUCAUCGAGACCAGCCUGACAGGUGGCAAGCUGGUGAUCUUCCGGUCGGCGGCGAUGCAGUCGCUGAGCCCCAAGGCGUUCAUGAGGAUGAUCAUGGGGCUGUCGAGCAAGGACAUCAUCGGCUCCGGUGGGUACGGGACGGUGUACCUGCUGCGGCUGGACGAGAAGUCGGCGUUCGCCAUCAAGAAGCUGAGCAGGGGGAGCGCGGAGAUGGACCGCGGGUUCGAGCGGGAGCUGGACACCAUGGGCGACAUCAAGCACAGGAACAUCGUCCCUCUCUGCGGCUACUACGCGGCGCCUCACUUCAACCUGCUCAUCUACGAGCUCAUGCCCAACGGCAGCCUGGACACCAUCCUCCACGGCAAGGAGGAGAAGAAGCAGGCCCUCCUGGACUGGCCGGUGAGGUACAAGAUCGCGCUGGGCGUGGCGCGGGGGCUGUCCUACCUCCACCACGACUGCAUACCGCACGUCAUCCACCGCGACAUCAAGUCCAGCAACAUACUCCUCGACCACAACAUGGAAGCCAGGGUGUCGGACUUCGGCCUCGCCACGCUCAUGAAGCCCAACGAGAGCCACGUCACCACCGUCGUCGCCGGCACCUUUGGCUACCUCGCCCCAGAGUACUUCGAGACAGGGAGGGCGACGACCAAAGGCGAUGUGUACAGCUACGGCGUCGUCUUGCUUGAGCUCCUCACGGGGAAGAGGCCGACGGACGAAUCCUUCCUUGAAAACGGCACACGGCUGGUGACCUGGGUCAAGGAAACCAUGGAGGAGAAGAGAGAGGAGCACGCCGUCGACGACGCUCUGGCGUCUUUUCCGGCGGAGGAGGUCAAGUUCGUGUUCACCGUGGCGGAGAAGUGCCUGGAGUCUGAUCCCCGCGAUAGGCCAACCAUGGUGCAAGUCGCCAAGAUGCUUGAGCAAGCCAAGCUGGCAUAG